AGGAAGUGGACCCGAGCUGCAGGCCCAGCGUGAGUGAGAGAGGGUAGAGAGGAGGCGAGUGAGAAAAGUAAGGCCGGGGGUUUUGGGGUAAAAGUUAGAUUUUCUUUUGUUAGAAUAAUAGCUUAAAUUUGUUUAUCACCUUUUAAAUCACAGAAAUUUCUAGGAGUGUCCAAAAUUAGUGAAACCAAUUUUGUUAGGAUUGUUUUAUUUUCCUUUAUGCAUUAAAAUUCUUAUACCCUAGGAAAAAUAAUAAAAACUUAGGUAUUUGUUUAAUGCCUUUUCAUUAAGGUAUUUAAAUAAAUACUUAACCUUUAUUAAAUGCAUAAAAUAUGGAAUAAUGUUUUCAUAUUCACAAAUUAUUAUUAACCCAUAGGAAAUUAGGUUUUGAGACUAGAAAAUAAUUAUAAUAUUUUCUAAAAAUAAAGGAAAAAGCCUAAGGUAGGGUUAGUAAAGAAAAUAAAAAUGGUGGAUUAAUCUUUUUGGGUUUUUGUGUGUUGGCUU
rnacentral:lncRNA from 1 species